GUCGCAACCCGGAUCGUUCUUCCGGCCCUGAACCCAUCGCGCGGCUUUUAAAGUCAACCCAGCAAAUGACAUCAGAAUCACCUUAAACCCCGGCAAAAAGCCAAGCUACCUGAACAAGACCUUGCUGUUCAAGACGGACCUUUUCUCCAAAACUCCAGCAGCCCGUGACGGCUGGCAGUGACUCUGGAACUUUGGACUCAUCAACAGUGGCCUCAGAAGGUUUCCCUCUACCAUUCCUGAUUCAAUGAAGAAUGCAGAAACCCAUGCCAGAAAGUGUUUCAGGUGUCGCUACAAACUAGUAGCCAACUUGAUAAUGGUGAGGCACAAGGUGAUUUGCAAGCUGAACAGCAGGAGCCACUUGAGCUAAGCAAUACCAAGACCCACAGUUCAGACCUCUGUAGAUGCACUCAGGAGCGAAUGGUGGUAGUCAAUCAACACCUAACAUGGGGAGGAUACUGCGAGAACAUCCCAAUCCUCAGCAAUGGAGAAGCCCAGAGUGUGAUUAUCAAAGGAAGCUGUGGGUGCCUUGACGUAUAUUCUCAACAUUAGCCACAUCAGUCUACCAUGGAGGAGGGGCACAGAAGAUACACAUGUCCUUAGAAGGCCACAGGGUCUGAAGCCUGAUGAGACAACAGUAUAUGUGUAAGUCCAAGGAUAUGAGAUUGAAAUGCACCGACCCUGAAACCAUUCCUCAAAUCUGAUAUGGACCCUCUCACAGAUAAAUAAAUGGAUUUUAACGUGUGGUGACAAUAAUUGGAUGCCACAUGCAAAAGACCUCCUCAGCCAUUGAACACAGGUAUAAGGAGUGCUGCCACAAAAAAGAAGCAUCCAUCAUCAAGGAUCUCUACCAUCCAGGCCAUGCUCUCUUCUAGCUGCUAUCAUAAAAAGAAGUGCAAUAGCCUUGGAUCGUACACCACCAGCUUCAUGAACAGUUAUUACCCUUCAACCAUCAGGCUGCUGAAUCAGCGUGGGUAACUUCACUCACCUCUACACUGAAACAAUUCCAUAACCUAUGGACUCACUUUCAAGGACUCUACAUGUUCUCAAUGCUACCCAGCCACCAAUUUAUCUAUCUAUCUAUCUGUUUAUUUAAUAAUUAUUUGACUUUUUGUAUUUGCUCAAUUUGAUGUUUACACAUUGUCAGGCUUUUGUGUAGUUUUUCAUAGAUUCUGUUGUAUUUCUUG